rnacentral:rRNA from 1 species
UACGAAGGGAGCUAGCGUUGUUCGGAAUCACUGGGCGUAAAGCGCACGUAGGCGGAUCUUUUAAGUCAGGGGGUGAAAUCCUGGAGCUCAACUCCAGAACUGCCUUUGAUACUGGGGAUCUCGAGUCCGGAAGAGGUGAGUGGAACUCCGAGUGUAGAGGUGAAAUUCGUAGAUAUUCGGAAGAACACCAGUGGCGAAGGCGGCUCACUGGUCCGGUACUGACGCUGAGGUGCGAAAGCGUGGGGAGCAA